rnacentral:lncRNA from 1 species
CGUGUGGAGGACGAUGGCAGCGAGGGGCCAUCUCUAAGGUGUGCCUACCAGCCAUUGGGAGCACCAGCAUGACAGAUGCCAUUACAGGUCGUGAGGCAUCCCUUGAGGGAGCAGCCUGGUCUCUGAUGCCCCAGGACCUCCCUGGCCCUCCUGCUCUGCGCUCCUUCCUGGGAGGAGAAAUAAGCUCUUGUUGGGUUGAAGUCACUUGUCCCUCAGGGUUUUGCUGCUGUUACUUCCAGCUAAACCUACUCCCAGCUAAUAUUUACAACCAGAGCUGUUUCCAUCACACCAAACUGGAAGAAAUAUGUCUGUGAAGGGAAAUUCUCAGGCUGAGAAAAAAACAUCAGUGUGGGGGAAGAUUUGGGACCCCUGUCUGCAUCUACCUGGACUCUCAUUAAACAGAUGAUGUGAUGAAGCAAUCAGAAAGCCUGGCCAGCUGCUCACCUCCAGGGCAGCUUCUUGGGAAGACAGUGAACAAUUCUGGGGGUUAAGAACUGUUUUUAAAAGAAAACACUAGGGAGGCUGGGGCAGGAGGAUCGUUUGAGGCCCAGGAGUUGGACGCUGCAGCUAGCUAUGAUUGUACCACUGCACUCCAGACUGGGUGACAGAGCAAGACCUUGUCUCUAAAAAAUAAAUAAAUUAACCUUUAAAAACCA